GAAUCAAGUGAUGAGAAAAAAACUGCAACAAUAUGAAUGGAAAAUAUGUUCCAUAUCCAUGAUUUUUGGUAUUUAAGUCUCUGAUGAUC